rnacentral:rRNA from 1 species
GCAGUCGAGCGCCCCGCAGGGGAGCGGCAGACGGGUGAGUAACGCGUGGGAAUCUACCCUUUUCUACGGAAUAACGCGGGAAACUUGUGCUAAUACCGUAUGAGCCCUUCGGGGGAAAGAUUUAUCGGGAAAGGAUGAGCCCGCGUUGGAUUAGCUAGUUGGUGGGGUAAAGGCCUACCAAGGCGACGAUCCAUAGCUGGUCUGAGAGGAUGAUCAGCCACAUUGGGACUGAGACACGGCCCAAACUCCUACGGGAGGCAGCAGUGGGGAAUAUUGGACAAUGGGCGCAAGCCUGAUCCAGCCAUGCCGCGUGAGUGAUGAAGGCCCUAGGGUUGUAAAGCUCUUUCACCGGUGAAGAUAAUGACGGUAACCGGAGAAGAAGCCCCGGCUAACUUCGUGCCAGCAGCCGCGGCUAAUACGAAGGGGGCUAGCGCUUGUUCGGAAUUACUGGGCGUAAAGCGCACGUAGGCGGAUUGUUAAGUGAGGGGUGAAAUCCCAGGGCUCAACCCUGGAACUGCCUUUCAUACUGGCAAUCUAGAGUCCAGAAGAGGUGAGUGGAAUUCCGAGUGUAGAGGUGAAAUUCGUAG